rnacentral:rRNA from 1 species
CACGUAGGGGGCGAGCGUUGUCCGGAUUUAUUGGGCGUAAAGAGCUCGUAGGCGGCUUGGUAAGUCGGGUGUGAAAACUCCGAGCUCAACUCGGAGACGCCAUCUGAUACUGCCAUGGCUAGAGUCCGGUAGGGGAGCGCGGAAUUCCUGGUGUAGCGGUGAAAUGCACAGAUAUCAGGAGGAACACCGAUGGCGAAGGCAGCUCGCUGGGACGUUACUGACACUAAGGCGCGAAAGCGUGGGGAGCGAACAGG